UACGUAGGGGGCAAGCGUUGUCCGGAAUUAUUGGGCGUAAAGAGCGUGUAGGCGGUCCGGUAAGUCCGCUCUGAAAGUCAGGGGCUCAACCCCUGGAUGCGGGUGGAUACUGCUGGGCUAGAGUCCGGAAGAGGCGAGUGGAAUUCCUGGUGUAGCGGUGAAAUGCGCAGAUAUCAGGAGGAACACCGAUGGCGAAGGCAGCUCACUGGCCCGGUACUGACGCUGAGGUGCGAAAGCGUGGGGAGCAAACAGG
rnacentral:rRNA from 1 species